UUAACGGAGAGUUUGAUCCUGGCUCAGGACGAACGCUGGCGGCGUGCCUAAUACAUGCAAGUCGAGCGGAGUUUCAAGAAGCUUGCUUUUUGAAACUUAGCGGCGGACGGGUGAGUAACACGUGGGCAACCUGCCCCUUAGACUGGGAUAACUUCGGGAAACCGGAGCUAAUACCGGAUAAUCCCUUUCUCCACCUGGAGAGAGGGUGAAAGAUGGCUUCGGCUAUCACUAAGGGAUGGGCCCGCGGCGCAUUAGCUAGUUGGUAAGGUAACGGCUUACCAAGGCAACGAUGCGUAGCCGACCUGAGAGGGUGAUCGGCCACACUGGGACUGAGACACGGCCCAGACUCCUACGGGAGGCAGCAGUAGGGAAUCUUCCGCAAUGGACGAAAGUCUGACGGAGCAACGCCGCGUGAGUGAGGAAGGCCUUCGGGUCGUAAAGCUCUGUUGUGAGGGAAGAAGCGGUACCGUUCGAAUAGGGCGGUACCUUGACGGUACCUCACCAGAAAGCCACGGCUAACUACGUGCCAGCAGCCGCGGUAAUACGUAGGUGGCAAGCGUUGUCCGGAAUUAUUGGGCGUAAAGCGCGCGCAGGCGGCUUCUUAAGUCUGAU
rnacentral:rRNA from 1 species